rnacentral:rRNA from 1 species
UACGUAGGGUGCGAGCGUUGUCCGGAAUUAUUGGGCGUAAAGGGCUCGUAGGCGGUUUGUCGCGUCGGGAGUGAAAACGCCGGGCUUAACUCGGUGCUUGCUUUCGAUACGGGCAGACUAGAGGCAUGCAGGGGAGAACGGAAUUCCUGGUGUAGCGGUGAAAUGCGCAGAUAUCAGGAGGAACGACCGGUGGCGAAGGCGGGUUGCUGGGCUGACACUGACGCUGAUGCGCGAAAGCCAGGGAGCGAACGGG